rnacentral:lncRNA from 1 species
AGCAUCACCCCCCAAGGCUAUAGCCCACCCGUUUUUGUGGCCUUUUUCCGCUGGAUGAACUUGGCGCCCUAGCCGUCGGGCGGUUAUUUUUUGGCGCGGCUUGGCCCGCGGCCUAUUUUUGGCACACAGAGGCCCCUCGCAAAGUCUCGCGGCAUUCCGAGUCCGGCGGACGAAGUGGGCCAGCAUCACCCCCCAAGGCUAUAGCCCACCCGUUUUUGUGGCCUUUUUCCGCUGGACGAACUUGGCGCCCCGGCCUUCGGGCGGUUAAUUUUGGGCGCGGCUUUGCCCGUGGCAUAUUUUUGGCACACGGAGGUCCCUCACAAAGUCUCGCGGCAUUCCGAGUCCGGCGGACGAAGUUGGCCAGCCCUACCCCCCAAGGCUAUAGCCCACCCGUUUUUAUGGCCUUUUUCUGCUGGACGAACUCGGCGCCCCGGCCUUCGGGCUGUUAUUUUUGGGGGCGGCUUUACCUGCGGCCUAUUUUUGGCACACGGAGGCCCCUUGCAAAGUCUCGCGGCAUUCCGAGUCUGGCGGACGAAGUGGGCCAGCCCCACCCCCCAAGGCUAUAGCCCACCCGUUUUCGUGGCCUUUUUCCGCUGGACGAACUUGGCGCCCCGGCCUUCGGGCGGUUAAUUUUGGGCGCGGCUUUGCCCGCGGCAUAUUUUUGGCACACGGAGGCCCCUCGCAAAGUCUCGUGGCAUUCCGAGUCCGGCGGACGAAGUCGGCCAGCCCCACCCCCCAAGGCUAUAGCCCUCCCGUUUUUGUGGCCUUUUUCCGCUGGACGAACUUGGCGCCCCGGCCUUCGGCCGGUUAAUUUUGGGCGCGGCUUUAUCCGCGGCGUAUUUUUGGCACACGGAGGCCCCUCGCAAAUUCUCGCGGCAUUCCUAGUCCGGCGGACGAAGUGGGCCAGCAUCACCCCCCAAGGCUAUAGCCCACCCGUUUUUGUGGCCUUUUUCCGCUGGACGAACUUGGCGCCCCGGCCUUCGGACGGUUAUUUUUGGGCGCGGCUUUGCCCGCGGCCUAUUUUUGGCACACGGAGGCCCCUCGCAAAGUCUCGCGGCAUUCCGAGUCCGGCGGACGAAGUUGGCCAGCCCCACCCCCCAAGGCUAUAGCCCACCCGUUUUUGUGGCCUUUUUCCGCUGGACGAACUUGGCGCCCCGGCCUUCGGGCGGUUAAUUUUGGGGGCGGCUUUUCCCGCAGCCUAUUUUUGACAAACGGAGGCCCCUCGCAAAGUCUCACGCCAUUCCGAGUCCGGCGGACGAAGUUGGCCAGCCCCAUCCCCCAAGGCUAUAGCCCACCCGUUUUUGUGGCCUUUUUCCGCUGGACGAACUUGGCGGCCCGGCCUUCGGGCGGUAAUUUUUGGGCGCGGUUUUACCGCGGCAUAUUUUUGGUACACGGAGGCCCCUCCCAAAGUCUCGCGGCGUUCCGAGUCCGGCGGACGAAGUCGGCCAGCAUCACCCCCCAAGGCUAUAGCCCACCCGUUUUUGUGGCCUUUUUCCGCUGGAUGAACUUGGCGUCCAAGCCGUCGGGUGGUUAUUUUUGGGCGCGGCUUUGCCCGUGGCCUAUUUUUAGCACACGGAGGCCCCUCGCAAAGUCUUACGGCAUUCCGAGUCCGGCGGACGAAGUGGGCCAGCAUCACCCCCCAAGGCUAUAGCGCACCCGUUUUUGUGGCCUUUUUCCGCUGGACGAACUUGGCGCCCUGGCCUUCGGGCGGUUAAUUUUGGGUGCGGCUUGGCCCGCAGCCUAUUUUUGACACACGAAGGCCCCUCACAAAGUCUCGCGCCAUUCCGAGUCCGGCGGACGAAGUUGGCCAGCCCCACCCCCCAAGGCUAUAGCCCACCCGUUUUUGUGGCCUUUUUCCGCUGGACGAACUUGGCGCCCCGGACUUCGGGCGGUUAUUUUUGGGGGCGGCUUUGCCCCUGGCCUAUUUUUGGCACACGGAGGCCCCUCACAAAGUCUCGCGGCAUUCCGAGUCCGGCGGACGAAGUUGGCCAGCACCACCCCCCAAGGCUAUACCCCACCCGUUUUUGUGGCCUUUUUCCGCUGGACGAACUUGACGCCCCGGCCUUCGGGCGGUUAAUUUCGGGCGCGGCUUUGCCCGCAGCCUAUUUUUGACAAACGGAGGCCCCUCGCAAAGUCCCGCGCCAUUCCGAGUCCGGCGGACGAAGUUGGCCAGCCCCACCCCCCAAGGCUGUAGCCCACCCGUUUUUGUGGGCUUUUUCCGCUGGACGAACUUGGCGGCCCGGCCUUCGGGCGGUAAUUUUUGGGAGCGGCUUUACCGCGGCCUAUUUUUGGUACACGGAGGCCCCUCGCAAAGUCUCGCGGCGUUCCGAGUCCGGCGGACGAAGUCGGCCAGCAUCACCCCCCAAGGCUAUAGCCCACCCGUUUUUGUGGCCUUUUUCCGCUGGAUGAACUUGGCGUCCAAGCCGUCGGGUGGUUAUUUUUGGGCGCGGCUUUGCCCGCGGCCUAUUUUUAGCACACGGAGGCCCCUCGCAAAGUCUCGCGGCAUUCCGAGUCCGGCGGACGAAGUGGGCCAGCAUCACCCCCAAAGGCUAUAGCGCACCCGUUUUUGUGGCCUUUUUCCGCUGGACGAACUUGGCGCCCUGGCCUUCGGGUGGUUAAUUUUGGGUGCGGCUUGGCCCGCAGCCUAUUUUUGACACACGAAGGCCCCUCACAAAGUCUCGCGCCAUUCCGAGUCCGGCGGACGAAGUUGGCCAGCCCCACCCCCAAAGGCUAUAGCCCACCCGUUUUUGUGGCCUUUUUCCGCUGGACGAACUUGGCGCCCCGGACUUCGGGCGGUUCUUUUUGGAGGCGGCUUUGCCCCUGGCCUAUUUUUGGCACACGGAGGCCCCUCGCAAAGUCUCGCGGCAUUCCGAGUCCGGCGGACGAAGUUGGCCAGCCCCACCCCCCAAGGCUAUAGCCCACCCGUUUUUGUGGCCUUUUUCCGCUGGACGAACUUGGCGCCCCGGACUUCGGGCAGUUAUUUUUGGGGGCGGCUUUGCCCCUGGCCUAUUUUUGGCACACGGAGGCCCCUCGCAAAGUCUCGCGGCGUUCCGAGUCCGGCGGACGAAGUCGGCCACCAUCACCCCCCAAGGCUAUAGCCCACCCGUUUUUGUGGCCUUUUUCCGCUGGAUGAACUUGGCGCCCAAGCCGUCGGGCGGUUAUUUUUGGGCGCGGCUUUGCCCGCGGCUUAUUUUUAGCACACGGAGGCCCCUCGCAAAGUCUCGCGGCAUUCCGAGUCCGGCGGACGAAGUGGGCAGCCCCAACCCCCAAGGCUAUAGCCCACCCGUUUUUGUAGCCUUUUUCCGCUGGACGAACUUGGUGCCCCGGCCUUCGGGCGGUUAUUUUUGGGCGCGGCUUUGUCCGCGGCCUAUUUUUGACACACGGAGGCCCCUCGCAAAGUCUCGCGCCAUUCCGAGUCCGGCGGACGAAGUUGACCAGCCCCACCCCCCAAGGCUAUAGCCCACCCGUUUUUGUGGCCUUUUUCCGCUGGAUGAACUUGGCGCCCUGGCCUUCGGGCGGUUAAUUUUGGGCGCGGCUUGGCCCGCAGCCUAUUUUUGACACACGAAGGCCUCUCGCAAAGUCUCGCGCCAUUCCGAGUCCGGCGGACGAAGUUGGCCAGUCCCACCCCCCAAGGCUGUAGCCCACCCGUUUUUGUGGGCUUUUUCCGCUGGACGAACUUGGCGGCCCGGCCUUCGGGCGGUAAUUUUUGGGAGCGGCUUUACCCCGGCCUAUUUUUGGUACACCGAAGCCCCUCGCAAAGUCUCGCGGCAUUCCNNNNNNNNNNNNNNNNNNNNNNNNNNNNNNNNNNNNNNNNNNNNNNNNNNNNNNNNNNNNNNNNNNNNNNNNNNNNNNNNNNNNNNNNNNNNNNNNNNNNNNNNNNNNNNNNNNNNNNNNNNNNNNNNNNNNNNNNNNNNNNNNNNNNNNNNNNNNNNNNNNNNNNNNNNNNNNNNNNNNNNNNNNNNNNNNNNNNNNNNNGCCAGCAUCACCCCCCAAGGCUAUAGCCCACCCGUUUUUGUGGCCUUUUUUCCGCUGGAUGAACUUGGCGCCCUGGCCUUCGGGCGGUUAAUUUUGGGCGCGGCUUGGCCCGCAGCCUAUUUUUGACACACGGAGGCCCCUCGCAAAGUCUCGCGGCAUUCGGAGUCGGGCGGACGAAGUGGGCCAGCCACACCCCCCAAGGCUAUAGCCCACCCGUUUUUGUGGGCUUUUUCCGCUGGACGAACUUGGCGCCCCGGCCUUCGGGCGGUAAUUUUUGGGCGCGGCUUUGUCCGCGGCCUAUUUUUGGUACACGGAGGCCCCUCGCAAAGUCUCGCGGCGUUCCGAGUCCGGCGGACGAAGUCGGCCAGCAUCACCCCCCAAGGCUAUAGCCCACCCGUUUUUGUGGCCUUUUUCCGCUGGAUGAACUUGGCGCCCAAGCCGUCGGGUGGUUAUUUUUGGGCGCGGCUUCGGCCGCGUCCGAUUUUUAGCACACGGAGGCCCCUCGCAAAGUCUCGCGGCAUUCCGAGUCCGGCGGACGAAGUGGGCCAGCAUCACCCCCCAAGGCUAUAGCCCACCCGUUUUUGUGGCCUUUUUCCGCUGGACGAAAUUGGCGCCCUGGCCUUCGGGCGGUUAAUUUUGGGCGCGGCUUGGCCCGCAGCCUAUUUUUGACACACGAAGGCCUCUCGCAAAGUCUCGCGCCAUUCCGAGUCCGGCGGACGAAGUUGGCCAGCCCCACCCCCCAAGGCUAUAGCCCACCCGUUUUUGUGGCCUUUUUCCGCUGGACGAACUUGGCGCCCCGGACUUCGGGCGGUUAUUUUUGGGGGCGGCUUUGCCCCUGGCCUAUUUUUGGCACACGGAGGCCCCUCGCAAAGUCUCACGGCAUUCCGAGUCCGGCGGACGAAGUCGGCCAGCAUCACCCCCCAAGGCUAUAGCCCACCCGUUUUUGUGGCCUUUUUCCGCUGGAUGAACUUGGCGCCCCGGACUUCGGGCGGUUAUUUUUGGGGUCGGCUUUGCCCCUGGCCUAUUUUUGGCACACGGAGGCCCCUCGCAAAGUCUCGCGGCAUUCCGAGUCCGGCGGACGAAGUUGGCCAGCCCCACCCCCCAAGGCUAUAGCCCACCCGUUUUUGUGGCCUUUUUCCGCUGGACGAACUUGGCNN